UAUGCCCUUUAAAGCAAGUAGAGCACAUUACUCAUCACUCAAUCUCCAGGACCAAGUUAAUGUUCUGUAUAUAGUAGAUGUCGACAGCAACAUCUCCCCCAGGUGUAACAACUAAACGUGUCUCCAGACAUUGGCAAAUAUCCUUGGGCCAUGGAGAAAACAUCACCUUCAAUUGAAAACCACUGGGCCACUCUAAUGCCUUCAAGGGAAGCCAAGAGUCUCAGGCCCUUCGCCCUUGCUUCUCAGAAAAGAACAGCUAACCAUUGCCAACCAGAAUGCAUAGAAACUGAACUACUUCUGUGUCUGCAAUUGUCAUCUUGGACAAAUUACCUAAACUGCUUGGGCUGAGAUAUGUGAAUUCAGAUAUUGAAGCUUAUUUAUACCUUCAUAAUUCUAUGCUUCCAUAAUGAUUAAAUCCACCAUAGUAAUAAAUAAAGGCCUUAACCACAUGAAGAAA
rnacentral:lncRNA from 1 species